GUUGGCCAGGCUGGUCUCGAACUCCUGACCUCAGGUGAUCCACCUGCUUCGGCAUUCCAAAGUGCUGGGAUUACAGGCGUGAGCCACCCCACCCAGCCAAAACUGUACACUUUAAAAGGAAGAAUUUUACUGUGUAUAAAUGACAUCUCAAUGAAGUUGAUAUUAAAAACACCAAGGCUAGGUGAGGUGGCUCACGCUUCUGUUCCUAGCACUUUGGGAGGCUGAGGCAGCAGGAUUGCUUGAGUCCAGGAGUUCCUACUGUGUCUAGCCACUGUGCCAACCCUUCCUUGAGUUCCCAAUUGGGAAACUUCCCAAUGAGGAAUUUGAUGCCUACAGAGGUUGAGUGACCCUGUCCUUAAAAAAAAAUUUUUUUUUUUAAUUAGCCAGGAACGGUGGUGCGUGCCUGUAGUCCCAGGUACUCUGGAGGCUGAGUCAGGAGGAUCGCUUGAGCCUUGGAGGUCGAGGCUUCAGUGAGCUGGGAUCAUGCCCCUAUGCUCCAGCCUGGGGACAGGUUCCCACGUGCACACUGUAAGGCACGGUGAAAAUCGGGACAUUAACACGGCUGAAUCGCUACCAUCUAAUCCGAAGGCCCAACCACAUUCACCACUUGUGCCAAUAAUAUGUUCAUUUCACUGUAUGUUUUGAAAUGUGUACCACAUGUAUAUGUUAUCUUUACGAAAAAAAAAAUAGUAUGUUGAAACCACUCGUCACAGCCAAAUGAAAUAAGAGCUAACUCAUUCAAGCAGGAGCCCCGGAGGACUAAAAGAAUCCGGCCUCUCCCAGGCCUCCUCACCUGAGCAGGGCUCCCUCCUGACUACCGC
rnacentral:lncRNA from 1 species